rnacentral:rRNA from 1 species
AACGUGCCCAGUCGUGGGGGAUAACGCAGCGAAAGCUGUGCUAAUACCGCAUACGAUCUAUGGAUGAAAGCGGGGGACUCGCAAGGGCCUCGCGCGAUUGGAGCGGCCGAUAUCAGAUUAGCUAGUUGGUGAGGUAAUGGCUCACCAAGGCGACGACGGGUAGCCGGCCUGAGAGGGUGACCGGCCACACUGGGACUGAGACACGGCCCAGACUCCUACGGGAGGCAGCAGUGGGGAAUAUUGCACAAUGGGCGCAAGCCUGAUGCAGCAACGCCGCGUGAGG